GAUGAACGCUAGCGGCAGGCCUAACACAUGCAAGUCGAGGGAGGAGCUUUCGGGCUUCGACCGGCGUACGGGUGCGUAACGCGUAUACAAUCUGCCUUUCACAUAGGGAUAGCCCGAAGAAAUUUGGAUUAAUACCUAAUGGUAUAUAGGAGUGGCAUCACAUUUAUAUUAAAGCUGAGGCGGUGAAAGAUGAGUAUGCGUUCUAUUAGCUAGUUGGAGAGGUAACGGCUCCCCAAGGCGACGAUAGAUAGGGGUUCUGAGAGGGAUAUCCCCCACACUGGUACUGAGAUACGGACCAGACUCCUACGGGAGGCAGCAGUGAGGAAUAUUGGACAAUGGUCGGAAGACUGAUCCAGCCAUGCCGCGUGCAGGAAGACGGCCUUAUGGGUUGUAAACUGCUUUCGCAGGGGAAGAAUAAGGACUACGAGUAGUUUGAUGACGGUACUCUGCGAAUAAGCAUCGGCUAACUCCGUG
rnacentral:rRNA from 1 species